UACUGCAACCUCGAGAAGGUGAGUUUUUCCAGGCAGAGAAGGAACUGAGAGCUGAGCUGUACCAGCUUCUGCCAUGGAAAUAACACUGUGGUGCGCACUUCUGUCUAAACACAGCACUAGGGUCAAGAUAACCAAGCCAUUCCACAGCCGCUGCAUCCCUUUGUGAAUAGAGGAAGACAGUGCCAUCGACGUUCACCACAAGGGACAGAUAUCAGUGAUUUCAAGUAUGAGAGCCCAGCUGUGCUCUGCCUAUCUGACACAAACAGUGCAGGUGUGGAACUGGGAGCAACACAGGCGAUUCUGGUGAUAUACAGCGUUUGCAUGCAGAAGUCAUCACGGUCACUUCCCCACUGAGCGAAUUUAAUUACAACCAAGCAGAAUACCCAGAGCACCCCUUGGAAGACAAACCAGGACUACAUAUUUUUGCUCAGACUGCAUCAAUAUAUUGAUGUCCCCUGUGCGAACGAUCCUCUGGAGGAUGUCGGUGGGGAUUCAAGAGUACAGCAGAGCCGCAGAAGUUGAGGAGGACAGACAGGUCAACCAAACUUAGGACUUUGACAAGCUGUUCACUUCUUGCUUCCUACCAACAGUCAUUGGUGGUUUCUUUUAACCGUGACCUCGAUUGCUGCCCAACGUUGACCAAGUAGUUAUCCGCCAUAGAUGAAGCUUCCCCUUCUCUAUCCUCCUCCCUGUCCUCUUUGUAGCCGCUGCGGUCCACAGGGUAAUGGUGCUUGUCGUCUGGAGUCUGUUCCAUCAAUAUGUGGCCCCUCUGUCUGGACUGCGUGGGUCAUCCUGGGUUUACACUCCCAGCCACUACAUGCCCAUCCACUCAGCCUCACCCUCUUACCGAAAGUCCCUCCCAGCCAGUUUUAAUCACUGACUUCUUCCUCUAAGCUUUGGUGGUUUCUUAAUACUGUUCAUGGUAUACAAGCAAAUACUGUGUACCAUGGCAACAAUUUGAAGUAUAUGUAACACAAAAAUGUGAAAUGGAAAUACCAAAAUCCCCCAAGAUAUCACAUCAAACAAAGGAUCCUGCGGUAUGUCUGCAAACUGCAGAACCCACAAUAAGACCUUAACUGCCUUGAAGUAAUCACCUGCAAGCCACACAGAGAGAGGAAUAAAGCAUGUCAGGCACAAAAAGAGAACUCAUAACCAUUAAAGUCAGUACAGUAAUUGAAUGAAUGCUGGGCUGCUGCUUUAGUGGCUGGGGCACAGGUAUGUGUCCUAACAAGAUGGCAGGAUGCAGGGCUUUUUUGGUUGUUACAGUAGUUGUUGCAUCAUUAGAUUUUAAGAGCUGAUUCAGUGUUUGGAUUGGGCUUAGUCAAAUGUGAAAUGGCAAAGGAGGGAAUGCUGUCGUUACAGCAGGUAAUUUCACACAAUGAUGGAUUGACACAAAGCACAUUUUACAUUCCUCGUCACAACCUCUUGAGUGUGUGUGCACCUCAGUGUGUGAAUACCUGGCUGUUUGCGUUCCCUGUAUUUUACUUUGGGUAUGUGUGCACUGAUGAGGCUCUCUGUGUAGGUGAAGACACUCCGCCAUGCAUUUCUGUCAGCUGGUAAAUUAUCUUUGCAGCACGGAUAAACACAAUUGCACAUCAGUAUGCAAGAAAGAAUGUUUCUGGUGGGUAAGUGGUACAGUUAUAAAAUAGGAAAGAUCUGUAUGCGCGCACAAUCGUGUGUUUGUUUGCAUUUCUCAGCAUGGGCCUAGAGAGCAGGGUGGUCACCCACCAUGACAUAUGGUGUGCACCCAGGUGAUGAGCCAGUUUCCAGUACAGGCCUUUUUGUGUGUGUGUGUGUGUGUGUGUCUUUCACUCUGAUGACCAUCUGUGCCCUGCUCUUCAAAGCAGCCCUAUCUGCUGAGCCCCAUAGACAAAUGAAUUAUUAAACUGCUUUUCCAGGUGACACCCUAACCAUUUGUUACCUCCUCUCUGGUGGGGCAGACACAGACUUGAGGAAACAAUCACUCAGUCCUUGCCCAUACUCUCCCACCUGAUCCCUUAUCGCCCAUGUGUGCCCCUCUCUCGUCCACUUUCUUGUACCCAUAUACUCAUCCUUCACAUCCUCUGGUAACUGUAGCAUUCCUCUGCUUCCAUUGCCUGCUCAUUUAAUGUCUCUGUCCUUAUUACCCGACUGCUUUGCCUCUAAAAUGACUCCAAGCUUAAUUUGGUCUCUCCCGUUCUCUCACUCUCUCUCUGUCCAAAAAAGUCAAUCUUUUUCCCAGCUCCAGCCUCAGGGACUGCGACCGCUUGAGGAAACCAAUAAGGUUGAUUAAGUGAUGACAGUAUAAUUACAGCGAUGGCACAGGCGCAAUCAAUUUCUUGUUUCCUGAAUAGGAUAAAUGAGCCGACCUGGGUCAUCAUCGUAUGGGAGAUAACUUCCCUCUGUGCAUACUCAGAUAAAGGCUGGGAGACUAAGUGAAAGAAUCAAAUGUGAAUAAAGACACAAGGUCUUUUGUUCAAUAAAUGUUCUUGACCGUUCUGUGUACAAUUACGAAGUACUACUUAAAAAAAUCAUUUGAGAGAAAUGUACGUGCCAACCUCUUUAUCACCGAUGAACUGGACAGACUCCACAGAUCAAAGUGAACCAGAAGCUUUAAAAGCAGAAACAUCUUAGUGCAACAGCUUAGUAAACUGUAACCGCUAUUAGACAGCCAUUUGAAAAGGUUGAGAAUAUAAACACCUGUGUGUCAGUACAAACAAGCUGACCUGUAAGUUUGUAUUCUCUGUACACACAUUCUUCAGGAGCAUGGUCUCUCGAAGCAAAAAAGGUUCGAACAAUGGAGAUACAGCAUAAUACCAUUCAUUAUGAAUUGAGCCUCUCAACCAUGCCAGUGCAGCCAACUAAAAGUGCUCAGAAGCACAACGUGUGGAGAAUGAGAGUAGGUACAUCUUUAUGCAGGUGUCCACUGAUGGGCAGGAAGGACAACCAGGCGCGCUAAUUUUGAUUUUCUCAUGAUAUAGCAGCACAGAGUUGUUUUCUACUCCACUCAGCUGUGCAAAAUUAUAAAUUAAGCACUUUGUUGUACAGUGGCAAUGUGAGAAAAUAACUGCCCAACCGGGGGUGAGUAGUGUAUUUCCUCAAAUUAAAACCGGUAGUCAAUUAAAAGCCCGGCCUCCGACAAUGCCCGGGGACGUGUCUGACAAGAAAUAAAAAAAGCCAGCCUCCAAAAACCGGCUGGGGAAACAACAAAUGUGGAUAAACUCCUGGUGGUUGUCAUAGAACUUGCAUGCCAGUUAAGCAUAAUGUCCAUUUCUGCUGCUUUAAGCUAAUGAGUUCAACAAUAGUCAUGCUAUUUAUUUAUUUUUUUAUUUUUUUUUCUUCCCCCGUUCUGAUCCACUUGUCCUUUAGUCCAGUCCGGCUGUUGUUGC